rnacentral:rRNA from 1 species
UACGUAGGUGGCAAGCGUUGUCCGGAUUCACUGGGUUUAAAGGGUGCGUAGGCGGAUAUGUAAGUCCGUGGUGAAAUCUCUGGGCUUAACCCGGAAACUGCCAUGGAUACUAUGUGUCUUGAAUGUUGUUGAGGUGAGCGGAAUAUGUCAUGUAGCGGUGAAAUGCUUAGAUAUGACAUAGAACACCAAUUGCGAAGGCAGCUCACUAAGCAAAUAUUGACGCUGAGGCACGAAAGCGUGGGGAUCAAACAGG